UCCAAAGGUAGAGGUCCCAACUGGAAAAGGACGUCUGUGGAAAUGGAGUAUCAGCCGUGCAGGGGUGCCUCCUCCCCUUGACGUGUCUUUCAAAACCAGACGCGGGGGUCAUUCGUAAAGGUAUCUGCCACAAAGCUUGAUGAAGUGGAUCACAGCACCUCUCUGAUGCUUCCUCGGCUCCUGCAGAAAAUGACAGAUGUGUAUUGGAACUUCUCCACAAGUCCAGCAGGCCCAACAGCCUAUCUGACCGAGGACAGAGCUGACAGUCCAGCUUCAUCGAGUCUACACCUCCGAAGGUCCCAUGCCUCCUCCCACCUCGUCCUCCUCCCCGCCUACAUGGUCCUCAGAGAACGUCCAGCCUGAAUCCUAGGGAGGAAACUGAGACCAGAGAGGUCAAGUAUCUUGCCUGAAGCCACAUGACUUAUAGACCCAACUGGCAGGCUCCCCGGCCUCCC